AAGUCGUAACAAGGUCUCCGUUGGUGAACCAGCGGAGGGAUCAUUACCGAGUUUACAACUCCCAAACCCCUGUGAACAUACCUAUACGUUGCCUCGGCGGAUCAGCCCGCGCCCCGUAACAAGGGACGGCCCGCCCGAGGACCCCUAAACUCUGUUUUUAGUGGAACUUCUGAGUAAAACAAACAAAUAAAUCAAAACUUUCAACAACGGAUCUCUUGGUUCUG
rnacentral:misc_RNA from 1 species